rnacentral:lncRNA from 1 species
GAAUGGCUUCCUCUAAAUGCUCUUUUCCCUGCCACACAGAAGUCAGACCUAUGCUUCCAUGAGUACUGCCAUUUAGUUUUAUCUGGACUUAUCACUACACUGCUCCAAAUUUGUUCCAUGAGAGCCACAUAAAAUAUUCUAUAAAGAAGGUAUUUCUUUUCCAGAACUGACAUACAGGAUUUCAGCCACCUAAAAAGUAGGUCUGUAAUUUUAAUGUAUUUUCAUAAGCGGAAGGAGAGCCAUCCCAAGUAUAUGAAGCAGCUUUCAAGAGAAAACUUCAAGGUAGUUAAACAGCAAACCGUGUGUCCUCUGGGCACAGAGGAAUCCUGUCCUUUCACCAAACUGGCACAACUGUUCUGGCAUCAGCUCUGCUUAUAGAAAGCCGUUGGGAGCAUGGCCAAGCAAGAGCAAGUGGACUGCUGAAGCACUGCAGCACUUCAUGCUGAUGUUUGCAGCCCUGACACUGCUCCAAGCCAGAUGCUCUGCUCCAGCAUCCGGAAUGGGGAGGAGAACAGGAAAACAGAAACAAGGCAGAGAAUCAAUGACUGAGAAACAACCAGGAACACCAGGGGAAGAAUGGAUAACGCAGGCUACUUAGGGUAAGAGAAAUUAGGGAGGACAGGGGCUAAACAUGGGCAAUUCUAUGGCACUUAGUCAAUGAGUCAUGGAACAGGAGUUCAGCAGUGGAAACCCUGCUCUGAAACUGCACCCAGCUGUUCCCCUCCCCUCUUCUGUUAAAAAGUAAUUUUGCUUGAUAACAAUUACUAUGUGGAACGGUGUAAUGGUGGAGUUUUCACUCAUAUUUACAUUAAACAUUAUCUACAAACACACCUGGGGAGUUGAUAAGAAUGAGUAUGUGAUGCUGUGUGUCUUAUGGUGACUGGUACUGAUUAAGCAAAACAUGGGGCAUGUACUGUAGCGCACACCUUUGUGGGAGAAUCAGGAAGGAAAAUGAAUACAGCGACAAAUAAAAUACUCUCCAACAAAAUUCUCCUUUUUUUC